AGCGAACGCUGGCGGCAUGCUUAACACAUGCAAGUCGAACGUGAUCCUUGCCUUCGGGUGAGGUGAAAGUGGCGGACGGGUGAGUAACGCGUGGGAACCUGCCCAAUGGUUCGGGAUAACCGCGGGAAACUGCGGCUAAUACCGGAUGUGCCCUUAGGGGGAAGAUUUAUCGCCGUUGGAGGGGCCCGCGUCCGAUUAGGUAGUUGGUGGGGUAACGGCCUACCAAGCCUGCGAUCGGUAGCUGGUCNGAGAGGAUGAUCAGCCACACUGGGACUGAGAUACGGCCCAGACUCCUACGGGAGGCAGCAGUGGGGAAUAUUGGACAAUGGGGCAACCCUGAUCCAGCAAUGCCGCGUGAGUGAAGAAGGCCUGCGGGUUGUAAAGCACUUUUAGUGGGGACAAAAGCCAAGGGCGAAUACCCUUUGGUCUUGAUUUAACCCAAAGAAAAGACACCGGCUAACUCUGUG
rnacentral:rRNA from 1 species